rnacentral:tRNA from 1 species
ACUUGAAUAGCUUAUUUUAGAGCGCGACGCUGAAGAUGUCGAUGUGGUUUUGGCCUUUAAGUA